UACGGGGGGGCAAGCGGUUGUUCGGAAUUACUGGGCGUAAAGGGCGCGUAGGCGGCCUUCUAAGUCAGACGUGAAAUCCCUCGGCUCAACCGAGGAACUGCGUCUGAUACUGGAAGGCUUGAAUCCGGGAGAGGGAUGUGGAAUUCCAGGUGUAGCGGUUGAAAUGCGUAGAUAUCUGGAGGAACACCGGUGGCGAAGCGGCAUCCUGGACCGGUAUUGACGCUGAGGCGCGAAAGCUAGGGAGCAAACGGGAUU
rnacentral:rRNA from 1 species